rnacentral:rRNA from 1 species
UACGUAGGGUGCAAGCGUUGUCCGGAAUUAUUGGGCGUAAAGAGCUCGUAGGCGGUCUGUCACGUCGGACGUGAAAAUCCAGGGCUCAACCCUGGACCUGCGUUCGAUACGGGCAGACUAGAGUUCGGUAGGGGAGACUGGAAUUCCUGGUGUAGCGGUGAAAUGCGCAGAUAUCAGGAGGAACACCGGUGGCGAAGGCGACUACCUGGCCUGUUCUUGACGCUGAGGCGCGAAAGCUAGGGGAGCGAACGGG